CGCGUAGGUGGUUUGUUAAGCGAGAUGUGAAAGCCCCGGGCUUAACCUGGGAACGGCAUUUCGAACUGGCAGGCUAGAGUGUGGUAGAGGGUAGUGGAAUUUCCUGUGUAGCGGUGAAAUGCGUAGAUAUAGGAAGGAACACCAGUGGCGAAGGCGGCCACCUGGACCAACACUGACACUGAGGUGCGAAAGCGUGGGGAGCAAACA
rnacentral:rRNA from 1 species